rnacentral:rRNA from 1 species
UCAGUGAAACUGAUCUCUCCGUGAAGAAGCGGGGAUACUCCUAUAAGACGAAAAGACCCCAUGGAGCUUCAAACCCAACUACACCCUUAACUACCACAACCGCACAACCUCUUAGGGCCCUGUAUAGUUGGUUUUAGGUUGGGGCGACCACGGAGUACAACCAAACCUCCGCAAUGGACGGGACCACUCCCUUAUCUAAGAGCCACACCUCUAAGAAUUAAAACACUAACAUAAAAUGAUCCAUGAUCUGAUCAAUGAACCAAGUUACCCUGGGGAUAACAGCGCAAUCCAUUUCAAGAGCCCUUAUCGACAAGUGGGUUUACGACCUCGAUGUUGGAUCAGGGUAUCCUAGUGGUGCAGCAGCUACUAAUGGUUCGUUUGUUCAACGAUUAAAACCCU